rnacentral:rRNA from 1 species
GAUGAACGCUGGCGGCGUGCCUAAUACAUGCAAGUCGAGCGAACAGACGAGGAGCUUGCUCCUCUGACGUUAGCGGCGGACGGGUGAGUAACACGUGGAUAACCUACCUAUAAGACUGGGAUAACUUCGGGAAACCGGAGCUAAUACCGGAUAAUAUAUUGAACCGCAUGGUUCAAUAGUGAAAGACGGUUUUGCUGUCACUUAUAGAUGGAUCCGCGCCGCAUUAGCUAGUUGGUAAGGUAACGGCUUACCAAGGCAACGAUGCGUAGCCGACCUGAGAGCGGGAUCGGGCACACGGGAGGUGAGACACGAUCCAGACUCCUAGGCGCGGCAGCAGUAGGGAAUCUUCCGAGAUGGGCGAAAGCCUGACGGAGCAACGCCGCGUGGGUGAUGAAGGUCUUCGGAUCGUAAAACUCUGUUAUUAGGGAAAAACAAAUGUGUAAGUAACUAAGCACGUCUUGACGGUACCGAAUCAGAAGGCCACGGCUAACUACGU